GGCGGUUGCAGGCACGGCUCUCCUCAGCGAAGCGCCGCUCCCGGCAGCCCGGGCCGCCCCGCAGGAAAGCGCGGCGGCAACCGGAGCUGUCCGGGCAGCACCGGGCGGGAAGCCGCGGCUCAACGGGAGCGAGUGCCGAGGACAGCUCCGCCGGAGCAGUAGAGUGUUUCAGAAGAGAGAAAAAGAUGGUGGCCAUGAACUGGCUUUCUGUGGCUGGUAAAGCUGUGCUGAGAACUGGGCUGACUAUUGCAACUGAAAAUGCGUGCCAAGUCUGCAGACGCAGAGGAAUAACUUUUCCGUGUAGGUUGAGCUUGUCUAAGCACGGAGAGAUUUCAGAUGCUGUUUGGUAAUGGAAGAUGGAGAGAGGAAAAGCAAGUAAAAGGCACGCUGUGCAUAGCCAGCGCAUCCCAUCUGCACCGUUGUCCCCCUGCACAAAGGAGAGGAGCAUCUCAGCAAGGUGGGCCUGGGCCAUGGAAGGGAUCAUACAAACAUCUGGACCGACGCGACAGGAGUUAGUUCUGCAGCUGUCGCAACGCUUUGAUCCCCUGCUGCUGGGCUGGGGCGUUUGAGGAAUGAUGCCCGUGCUGAUGUCCAGCCAGGCUUUGGGGAUGAGUCUGCGUAGCAGGGAGGGCAGGUGGUGAAGCUCAUGAAGCAAUGCCUGCAGAUGGGGUUUGCAGAGCAAGAAGUCCUGCAGGCCUUGUGUGACACCCACGGAGCUGAAGCGAGGCUGCGUCAGUGUAAAACAGCAGAAAUGCAUGGAGGUAUGAAGUGAUAACCAUGGAAGCAUGGAAGCAUGGAAGCGUUACCCAGACAGACUGAGCAUUUGUCACCUGGGCAUUCUACAGAUGACAUAGGCAGUGGAAGUCAGCAUUGGAAGCAUGCGUGAGACCCCUGCAAAAGAAUGAUGAGAGUUCCCCUGGCGGCCUCCUUUGGCAAUCUCAGGUGAAAGAGAUGGCUGCUGUAAGCCGCCCUUGAAGGGCGCAAAGAAGGACCCUAGUGUGGAUUUGCCAUCGGCCCAGCAAGAGGCUCAACAGCACCGAGCGCCGUGUCGUGCACUUUGGUCAUGCCAACCCCAUGCCAGCUUCUCCAGGAUUUGGCUGGGAUAGAAUUCCAACCACCAUCGGAUUUCUCGAACGCUGGGGUGCCCUUUUGGAAUCCUAUGGUCUUGUGACGUGGUCUUGCCUCCCCAGC